AUGGGCAAAGGAGAUCCUAAGAAGCCGAGAGGCAAAAUGUCCUCAUAUGUAUUCUUUGUGCAAACUUGCUGGGGGGAGCACAAGAAGAAGCACCCGGAUGCUUCUGUCAACUUCUCAGAGUUCUCCAAGAAGUGCUCAGAGAGGUGGAAGACCAUGUCUGCUAAAGAAAAAGGGGAAUUUUUAAGAUAUGGCAAAGGCUGACAAGGCUCGUUAUGAAAGAGAAAUGAAAACCUACAUCCCCCCAUCAAAGGGGAGACCAAAAAGAAGUUCAAGGACCCCAAUGCACCCAAGAGGCCUCCUUAGGCCUUCUUCUUGUUCUGUUCUGAUUACCGCCCCAAAAUCAAAGGCGAGCAUCCUGGCUUAUCCAUUGGUGAUGUUGCAAAGAAACGAGGAGCAAUGUGGAACAACACUGCAGCAGAUGACAAGCAGCCCUAUGAGAAGAAAGCUACCAAGCUGAAGGAGAAGUACGAGAAGGAUAUUGCUGCCUACAGAGCUAUAGAAAACAUGAUGCAGCGAAAAAGGAGGUGGUCAAGGCUGAAAAGAGCAAGAAAAAGAAGGAAGAGGAAGAUGAUGAGGAGGAUGAAGAGGAUGACGAAGAGGAGGAAGCUGAAGAAGAUGAUGAAUAA
rnacentral:lncRNA from 1 species